UGCGUAGGCGGUCGGCAAAGUCUGAUGUGAAAUCUCCGGGCUCAACCCGGAAACUGCAUCGGAUACUGGUCGGCUAGAGGAUUGGAGGGGGGACUGGAAUUCUCGGUGUAGCAGUGAAAUGCGUAGAUAUCGAGAGGAACACCAGUGGCGAAGGCGAGUCCCUGGACAACUCCUGACGCUGAGGCACGAAAGCUAGGGGAGCAAACA
rnacentral:rRNA from 1 species